AACGAACGCUGGCGGCAUGCCUAACACAUGCAAGUCGAACGAUGCUUUCGGGCAUAGUGGCGCACGGGUGCGUAACGCGUGGGAAUCUGCCCUUGGGUUCGGAAUAACAGUGAGAAAUUGCUGCUAAUACCGGAUGAUGUCUUCGGACCAAAGAUUUAUCGCCCAGGGAUGAGCCCGCGUAGGAUUAGCUAGUUGGUGGGGUAAUGGCCUACCAAGGCGACGAUCCUUAGCUGGUCUGAGAGGAUGAUCAGCCACACUGGGACUGAGACACGGCCCAGACUCCUACGGGAGGCAGCAGUGGGGAAUAUUGGACAAUGGGCGCAAGCCUGAUCCAGCAAUGCCGCGUGAGUGAUGAAGGCCUUAGGGUUGUAAAGUUCUUUUACCCGGGAUGAUAAUGAUAGUACCGGGAGAAUAAGCUCCGGCUAACUCCGUG
rnacentral:rRNA from 1 species